rnacentral:rRNA from 1 species
GAUGAACGCUGGCGGCGUGCCUAAUACAUGCAAGUCGAGCGAACGGACGAGAAGCUUGCUUCUCUGAUGUUAGCGGCGGACGGGUGAGUAACACGUGGAUACCCUACCUAUAAGACUGGGAUAACUUCGGGAAACCGGAGCUAAUACCGGAUAAUAUUUUGAACCGCAUGGUUCAAAAGUGAAAGACGGUCUUGCUGUCACUUCUAGAUGGAUCCGCGCUGUAUUAGCUAGUUGGGAGGUAACGGCUUACCAAGGCAACGAUGGAUAGACGAACUGAGAGGGUGAUAGGCCGCACUGGAGCUGAGACAGGGUCCAGACUACUAAGGGAGGCCGCAGUAGGGAACGUUCCGCAAUGGGCGAAAGCCUGACGGAGCGGCGCCGCGUGAGUGAUGAAGGUCUUCGGAUCGUAAAACUCUGUUAUUAGGGAAGAACAUAUGUGUAAGUAACUGUGCACAUCUUGACGGUACCUAAUCAGAAAGCAACGGCUAACUACGUG